CUUAUUCUCAUAUCAAGUAUCUCUAAAGGAAAUUUCAUAUCAAAAUUCGUAUGAAAAUUCUCAUACAAAAUUUGAAAACAACAACAAAUUCUUUUAUAUUUAUAAUCAAUUGGUAGAAAAUUUAAAAUUUAAGAUUUGUAUCUCUUUAAAAUUUACAACAAUCUACAUCAUUACAAUAACAUAAUAGAGAAUAAAAUAAAAUUAAACCACAAACCCGAGUCCAGGGUGCCAGCUUCCUAGAUAUAAUAGUUGGUUGACCCAUCGACUUUAUGCAAAUGAUCUUACAGCUGCUCGGCUUCAAUGAUCUUGCAGCUGCUGCCAACGUACAUCAAGCAAAGAGCAAAUUUUGUCAACUAUCAACUAUUCGAAGACCCAAGUAUUUUCCAUGAUGCUAGGUAUCAUAAAUGAACCAACAGUACCUAAGUGUAGGUCUUUGCAUUAGUUUGGACUAGUUCUAGUCCUUUGGGGAUCAGGGCUGAGGACGAUGUGAUGGGCCACAAAAUUUGCAACAGAUAAAAUGUUUGAAAAAUUCGCCCUCUGCUUUUUUACUUUAAAAAGCAUACAAAUUUUUAUAGGACAAAAAACGACAAAUCUGGC